CUCAGACGUAUAAAGGACCAUGCGAUCCACUGGCGCGGUCUUUUCGGUCCCAGCGUGUCGCCCGAAGUGCAUGGAUGGCGUUGGGAUGGUCAUUUCAGCAGCAGAACGAGGCUGGCCAUCUCAGUGGAUCUACUCAGAUCUGUGGGCGUGUGGGACUCCAGCACAGGGUUUGUGGGCUGAUCUGAAGCAGCUUUGAGCACUUGUGGGUAAUGUAUUUCUCACACACACACACACACGGAACCACUUCAUUUAUGUACUCCCACUUUGUAUGUACAUAUGCACAGAAACAGUUUAUUGGCCUGUAUUCGUGGUUUUACUUUGUAUGUGUAGCUUAAUAUGCAGAGCUAUGCUAGUGUGAAUCUGUUUCGGGGGACACACCUAGUUUUGUUGUACAUUUGUGCGAUGACAAUAAGGCAUGCUAUUCUAUAAGCUCAAUAAAGAUGACCGAGACCUGAA